UACGUAGGGACCAAGCGUUGUUCGGAUUUACUGGGCGUAAAGGGCGCGUAGGCGGCAAUUCAAGUCAUCUGUGAAAUCUCCGGGCUUAACUCGGAAUGGUCAGGUGAUACUGCUUUGCUAGAGUGCAGAAGGGGCAAUCGGAAUUCUUGGUGUAGCGGUGAAAUGCGUAGAUAUCAAGAGGAACACCUGAGGUGAAGACGGGUUGCUGGGCUGACACUGACGCUGAGGAGCGAAAGCGUGGGGAGCGAACAGG
rnacentral:rRNA from 1 species